GCGUAGCAGCUAUUCAGCAACUCAACGCAGUCGCGGUGAAAUUCAAAUAACUAAGUUAGUUGUUCUAACUUCGACAAUCACGCUGUGUUGGUUUUAUCUUUUGAAGUUUUAAUACAUGAUCAAGUGAAGAACAUCGGAAGCUGCUUCUUGCUGAACAACAGCUGAUCUUUCUGAGGCCACCAAAACGGAAAAUAAAAUGAAACAGGCGACUAAUGGAUGAAAAUGACCCCGAUGAGGAGGCUACUGCAGCCAUGGCAAGUAGAGAAGUUCACAAGACCUCACAGAACAUCGCAGGCAACAGGAUUUAACUUUACAGUCUCACAGACAGGCAAUACAGUCACCAUGGCAUCAUGAAACACCCAGACCACAGAGAAAAAGCCUCUCAAGUGAUGACCGAUUAAUAAGAUUACGGUGGCUGAGAGGGCUCAACACGCUGCAACAGAAGAAAAUGGAUGCAAACAGAAAAAAAACCCUGUAAAAUAAGAACAUCUUUAUCACAUGUGCUAAAACACAACCAAAUACAUAAAUGCUCUCCAAAUGUCCGACCAACAAAUAUCUACUCGACAAUGGUGUUCAUUGUUUUAUUUUUAUUAUUAUUUAUUGUUUGCAUUGUAUUUGCAGCAUGUGUGUUGUGAAACUGAUGUCUUGACUUGCUGGUGUUUUUCUUGUUUGCAUGUUUUCUUCUGUUGCAGGACUUUGAGAUCUCUUGGCCAACAUAUUUUUGUUAAUUUUUGUAUCUCAUUAUUUAAGAAUGCCACAUACACAUUUUUGUAACAUUUUAAUUUAUUGCUGUCUUUUUAUUAUUCUUGUAAUGUGAAUUAUAGUUAUAUUUUGUUUUGUCUUACUCUAGUAUUGGCUUGUAUUUUGUUGUUUAUCCUUUUAUCUGGCUGAGAUUUUCUUCCCUUCUCAAUAAAAUAUUGUUCUUUGCA